rnacentral:tRNA from 1 species
CGGUCUGUAGCUCAGUUGGUUAGAGCAACGCUCUUAUAAGGCGUGGGUCCUGGGUUCAAGUCCCAGCAGACCGACCA